rnacentral:lncRNA from 1 species
UGAAGCCGUAGGUCAGUGUGGUAUGCGUCCCUCUCUUCAGCUCCCAGCUGGAGCGGUUCCCCAAGGACUCGGUUGAUGGCAUCCCGAUCAAAUGCUACUGGACGCCCAACCACUUUAGAUACCCAAGUAAAGGGCUCGCCGUCAUCGGGCAGUGCGUUAGCAUAAAAUUCCCGCACUGUAGCUAUGUCGUAAUGCUCUAAGGGAUUAAUCAACCGAUCCCAUUUCUUCGCGUCAAUCAACCCGACAAAAUUUC